UAAUUUUUAUAGGAUAGAUUAUCAUCUAAUUGUAGCAAACUCACAACUAUCUCAUAAUCACUUGUUAUCGGAUGGUACAUCACUAUACUUGGAAACUCUUUAAUUGGUUAAACAAAAGAGU
rfam:Populus trichocarpa scaffold_6_contig_42, whole genome shotgun sequence.